rnacentral:rRNA from 1 species
AAUAUUGCACAAUGGGGGAAACCCCGAUGCAGCGACGCCGCGUGAGUGAGGAAGUAUNNNGGUAUNUNAAGCUCUAUCAGCAGNGANNAAAAUGACGGUACCUUACUAAGAAUCUCCGGCUAACUAACUUCCAGCAGCCGCGGUAAUACGUAGGGGGCAAGCGUUAUCCGGAGUUACUGGGUGAAACGGGAGCGUUGGUGGCGUAUCAAGCCAGAUGUGAAAGCCCGGGGCUCAACUCCGGGAUUGGAUUUGAAACUGGUGCGCUAGAGUGCAGGAGAGGUAAGUGGAAUUCCUAGUGUAGCGGUGAAAUGCGUAGAUAUUAGGAGGAACACCAGUGGCGAAGGCGGCUUACUGGACUGUAACUGACACUGAGGCUCGAAAGCGUGGGGAGCAAACA